AAGAAUUUAGUUUAAAGUAAAACAUAAAUUUGUCAAUUUUAAGAUAUUAAUAAUAAUUCUUU
rnacentral:tRNA from 1 species